GUGUGUAACUAGUUGAUAGUUUUUCUACUUUUGUAUAGCACUUGCUGGUUUAUUCAAGGAGGGAAAUAGAAAAUAGUGCACACCAUAAUUCUGUAUUCUUUGAUAGCCCUUUGUGGUAUAAUGUGGUUUCUUCCUAUGCCAGUAUAGGAUUACUGUUCUGGGUUGUGUUUUGAGCUCAAUGUCACCUCUAAAGAUGUUUUUAGGCUAUGAAUUUAAAUAUCAGGCCGGGCCUUGCAAUUGAAGAUCAUGC
rnacentral:misc_RNA from 1 species